rnacentral:rRNA from 1 species
UUAAUCGUCACCACAUGCAGUCACCAUAAACCACUGCACGCCAGAGAAGUACAAGCGAAAAGCUAGAAACUCAAAGGACUUGGCGGUGUCCCAUAUCAACCUAGAGGAGCCUGUCCCGUAAUCGAUACUCCACGUUAAACCCAACCUGCAUUCGCCUGCCAGCCUAUAUACCGCCGUCGCCAGCCUGCCUAAUGAUAGUCACAACGCAGGCAAAAGAGGCCCUCCUCCUAAUACGUCAGGUCAAGGUGUAGCUAAUAUACAGGUCACAGAUGGGCUACAUUUUNCUUAAUACAANGAAAACCACCGCAUGCACCAUGAAACACAGGCCGAAAGGCGGAUUUAGUAGUAAGUCGGACAAGAAAGUCCAGCUGAAACUUGCUCUGGGACAC